CUGGAUUUUGUGUUGUACUUGUCAUUCUCUUCUUUUCCGAGGCUUCUUGGAGAUUUGUCAGGCUGACUUAUCUUGGUGGGAUAAGACGAGUGCCAUCAAGCCCAUUUUGGGUCGUGACAAGGAAAAGCAAGAAUCACUAAGAAAGUUUGGUUUUUGUUGUGGAUUUGCCAAGGAUAAUCCUACAAGGUGUGUGAGUCUUUAAUAGCAUUGAGUUUGCUCACCUAAGCACCAAGCAAGUUUAGUUCAGCAAAAUUUGUGCUAAAAUAGUUUAAAAUUUUAUGCUCUUCACAUGUAUUCUUGAAUUUUGAAUGUCAUUCUUGAAUUGGGUUGAA